AGUCGAACGCAGUAGCAAUACUGAGUGGCAGACGGGUGAGUAUAAUGUGGGAAUCUGCCUUUUGGUUCGGAAUAACAAGAGGAAACUUUUGCUAAUACCGGAUAAGCCUUUACAGGGAAAGUUUUAAUGCCAAAAGAUGAGCCCGCACUUGAUUAGCUAGUUGGUAAGGUAAUGGCCUACCAAGACUGUGAUCAAUAGCUGAUUUGAGAGGAUGGUCAGCCACACUGGGACUGAGACACGGCCCAGACUCC
rnacentral:rRNA from 1 species